GCAGCGGUGGUUCAGUGGUAGAAUUCUUGGCUGCCAUGCAGGAGACCCGGGUUCCAUUCCUGGCCAAUGCA
rnacentral:tRNA from 1 species